rnacentral:rRNA from 1 species
UACGAAGGGGGCUAGCGUUGCUCGGAAUCACUGGGCGUAAAGCGCACGUAGGCGGCUUUUUACGUCAGGGGUGAAAUCCUGGAGCUCAACUCCAGAACUGCCUUUGAUACUGGGAAGCUCGAGUCCGGAAGAGGUGAGUGGAACUCCGAGUGUAGAGGUGAAAUUCGUAGAUAUUCGGAAGAACACCAGUGGCGAAGGCGGCUCACUGGUCCGGUACUGACGCUGAGGUGCGAAAGCGUGGGGAGCAAACAGG